rnacentral:lncRNA from 1 species
CGUCUCCUCCUGCUCAAUAGAGCUACCUUGGUCAUAAAUCAGAUACGAGGGUUUCACCAUGUUGGCCAGGCGGGUUUUGAACUACUGACCUCAAGUGAUCCGCCCACCUCGGCCUGCUAAAGUGCUAGGAUUACAGACGUGAGCCACCGCACCCAGUCACUAUCUCACUUCUUUUGCUUAACAUGUCUAUGAGAUUUAUUUAUGUUGUAUAUUGCAAUUCUUUUUU